rnacentral:rRNA from 1 species
CCGCGUGUGUGAAGAAGGUCUUCGGAUUGUAAAGCACUUUUGGCAGGGACGAUGAUGACGGUACCUGCAGAAUAAGCCCCGGCUAACUUCGUGC